rnacentral:rRNA from 1 species
AAAUGAAUUGACGGGGGCCCGCACAAGCAGUGGAGUAUGUGGUUUAAUUCGAAGCAACGCGAAGAACCUUACCAGGGCUUGACAUGCAGGUGAAUAAUGUAGAGAUACAUUAGGCCUUCGGGACACCUGUGCAGGUGGUGCAUGGUUGUCGUCAGCUCGUGUCGUGAGAUGUUGGGUUAAGUCCCGCAACGAGCGCAACCCCUGUUGUUAGUUGCCAUCAUUAAGUUGGGCACUCUAACGAGACUGCCGGUGACAAAUCGGAGGAAGGUGGGGACGACGUCAAAUCAUCAUGCCCCUUAUGUCCUGGGCUACACACGUACUACAAUGGCUAUAACAGCAGGGAGCUAAGGAGUAAUCCGGAGCAAAUCCUCAAAAAUAGUCCCAGUUCGAAUUGUGGGCUGAAACUCGCCCACAUGAAGUCGGAAUUGCUAGUAAUGGCAGGUCAGCAUACUGCCGUGAAUACGUUCCCGGGCCUUGUACACACCGCCCGU